rnacentral:rRNA from 1 species
AUUGAACGCUGGCGGCAGGCCUAACACAUGCAAGUCGAACGGAGUCGCGGACGGGUGAGUAAUGCCUAGGAAUCUGCCUGGUUGUUGGGGAUAACGUCCGGAACCGGGCGCUAAUCCCGCAUACUAUCAGAUGAGCCUCGGUCGGAUUGGCUAGUUGGUGGGGUAAAGGCCUACCAAGGCCACGAUCCGUAACUGGUCUGAGAGGAUGAUCAGUCACACUGGAAAUGAGACACGGUCCAGAUUCCUGCGGGAGGCAGCAGUGGGGAAUAUUGGACAAUGGACGAAAGCCUGAACCAGCCAGGCCGCGUGUGUGAAGAAGGUCGUCGGAUUGUAAAGCACUAUAAGUUGGGAGGCGUUACCAACAGAAUAAGCACCGGCUAACUUCGUGCCAGCCGCCGCGGUAAUUC